AAGAUCUUGAUCGUUACUGGGACAACCAUUUCCUUUCCCAGAUUUGUCUGAAGUUUUCAGAGGUGGUAAGUCCACCUCAGGUCCCUGCCAUGUCCUCCCUGACUCAUCAGUCACAGAAGAGGAAAACACCUACAAAGUUCUCUGGUCCAGACUCUCAUAUGUGGGCUUCUGUGGA
rnacentral:lncRNA from 1 species